AUACGUAGGGUGCGAGCGUUAAUCGGAAUUACUGGGCGUAAAGCGCGCGUAGGCGGCUAAUUAAGUCAAAUGUGAAAUCCCCGAGCUUAACUUGGGAAUUGCAUUCGAUACUGGUUAGCUAGAGUGUGGGAGAGGAUGGUAGAGUUCCAGGUGUAGCGGUGAAAUGCGUAGAGAUCUGGAGGAAUACCGAUGGCGAAGGCAGCCAUCUGGCCUAACACUGACGCUGAGGUGCGAAAGCAUGGGGAGCAAACAGGAUUAGAAACCCCUGUAGUCC
rnacentral:rRNA from 1 species